GACGAACGCUGGCGGCGUGCUUAACACAUGCAAGUCGAACGGAAAGGCCCUGCUUUUGUGGGGUGCUCGAGUGGCGAACGGGUGAGUAACACGUGAGUAACCUGCCCUUGACUUUGGGAUAACUUCAGGAAACUGGGGCUAAUACCGGAUAGGAGCUCCUGCUGCAUGGUGGGGGUUGGAAAGUUUCGGCGGUUGGGGAUGGACUCGCGGCUUAUCAGCUUGUUGGUGGGGUAGUGGCUUACCAAGGCUUUGACGGGUAGCCAGCCUGAGAGGGUGACCGGCCACAUUGGGACUGAGCUACGGCCCAGACUCCUACGGGAGGCAGCAGUGGGGAAUAUUGCACAAUGGGCGGAAGCCUGAUGCAGCAACGCCGCGUGCGGGAUGACGGCCUUCGGGUUGUAAACCGCUUUCGCCUGUGACGAAGCGUGAGUGACGGUAAUGGGUAAAGAAGCACCGGCUAACUACGUG
rnacentral:rRNA from 1 species